rnacentral:tRNA from 1 species
GGAAGUGUGCCCGAAUUUUAAAGGAUUACUUUGAUAGAGWAGACUAUAGAGGKUAAAACCCACUCACUUCCC